UUGCACUUCGCAUUUCUAUAAGCUUCGCUAAAUUCUCAAAAUAGUGCAGUCUUACAGCGAUUAGUGCAUAAAGGAAAAGCUGAAUUUAUCAGCGGCGGCCAGACAACCGUUGAGAUGAAUCCACAGAUUGGUUCCGUUUUUGCUCCUGUCUACUAAUUUCAUCUCACAUUU
rfam:Solanum tuberosum cultivar DM 1-3 516 R44 scf00034_43, whole genome shotgun sequence.